rnacentral:rRNA from 1 species
GAUGAACGCUAGCUACAGGCUUAACACAUGCAAGUAGAGGGGCAGCAUUUUAGUUUGCUUGCAAACUAAAGAUGGCGACCGGCGCACGGGUGAGUAACACGUAUCCAACCUGCCGAUAACUCGGGGAUAGCCUUUCGAAAGAAAGAUUAAUAUCCGAUAGUAUAUUAAAACCGCAUGGUUUUACUAUUAAAGGAUUCCGGUAGAGGAUGGGGAUGCGUUCCAUUAGGUUGUUGGUGAGGUAACGGCUCACCAAGCCUCCGAUGGAUAGGGGUUCUGAGAGGAAGGUCCCCCACAUUGGAACUGAGACACGGUCCAA